GGGGCAAGCGUUGUUCGGAAUCAUUGGGCGUAAAGGGCGCGUAGGUGGUUCUGUAUGUCUACCGUGAAAGCGUACGGCUCAACCGUAUUUUGUCGGUGGAAACUGCAGGACUUGAGGCUGGGAGGGGCUGGUGGAAUUCCCUGUGUAGCGGUGAAAUGCGUAGAGAUGGGGGAGAACACUCGUGGCGAAGGCGGCCAGCUAGACCAGUUCUGACACUGAGGCGCGACAGCGUGGGGAGCAAACAGG
rnacentral:rRNA from 1 species